UACGGGGGGUGCGGGCGUUGUCCGGAAUCACUGGGCGUAAAGGGCGCGUAGGUGGUUUGAUAAGGGUGUGGUGAAAGCCCGGGGCUCAACCCCGGGUCUGCCGUGCCGACUGUCAAACUCGAGGGCUGUAGAGGCAGACGGAAUUCCGGGUGUAGCGGUGGAAUGCGUAGAGAUCCGGAAGAACACCGGUGGCGAAGGCGGCCUGCUGGGCAGUUGCUGACACUGAGGCGCGACAGCGUGGGGAGCAAACAGG
rnacentral:rRNA from 1 species